rnacentral:misc_RNA from 1 species
UACGAGGGGUGCAAACGUUAUUCGGAUUAACUGGGCGUAAAGGGUGUGUAGACGGAACAUUAAGUUCGCUGUUAAAUCUUUCGGCUUAAUCGGAAGCUUGCGGUGAAAACUAAUGAUCUAGAGGGUGAAAGAGAGAAGUGGAAUUCUCGGAGUAGCGGUAAAAUGCGUAGAUCUCGAGAGGAACACCGAUGGCGAAGGCAGCUUCUUGGUUCACUCCUGACGUUGAGACACGAAAGCCAGGGGAGCGAACGGG